CUUCACCCGCACCGGGGCCUUCACCCACACUGGGGCCUUCACCUGCACCAGGGCCUUCACUCUAAAGAGUUUGAGCAUAUGUGCAACCAAACCUAUCAUGUAUUGUAAUUUGUAACUGAUACGUUAGCAAAGUAAAACCAGGUCUUAAAGUGUAACAAUAAUCAAUACUAGGUAAAACCAAGUCUUAAAGCAUAACAGUAAACAAUGAUAUUACUUAUGAGAUGAUAGCCUAUACAAAUUCUGAUAUAAAUCCACUUAUUAUAUGAUGUUCUAUGUGUUUAUCAAUACAAAGAUUACGAUUCUACUGAGAGAAAAAUUAAUUGAAUUCAAUAUUAAUACAAAUAAUGCAAAGAUCAAACACUAUUUCUAUAAUUAAGCAUAACACGAAUAGUUCUUUUAUAAAAAAUGUAGUGGUUGGUUGCUCUCAGAUAAAGGCCAAUUUUUUCCACAUGAGAAAACUUGAGAUAGGUAAGGCCCCUUCCAUUGAAGUGAAAAAUCUGCUUCAAGAGCUUGACCAAACCUUCUCUCGAUCCCUAAAAGAAGAGGAAAAGAGAACUCUUCAAUUAGAAAAAGAAAUCAUUAGGCAAAAUCAAGCACAAAAAGCUUAUUUACUACUUCAAUGAAAGGCACCACAAGCCCCAUCCAGCUUCUAUUCGGUGUGGUUAAAGCAAAAUAAUCAUCAUCGAGCAUACCCACAAAGAUUCAAACACACAUAAAAUUCAGAUAGACAUAAAAAAUUCGCUUGCAACUGAACUCAAUUAAAAGAUCCAAACAGAGAUUCUAAGGAAUAAUAAUCAAAAGCAAGAAGGCUAAAACAAAUUUAAAAUAACAAACUUAAAAACGAACUAAAAAAUUAGAACGCAGUAUAUUCCUGAAUUUUAAGGAAUAUUGAUGAAAACCUAAUUGUGGAGCCUACGAGAAAAAGCAAGAAUCCAGUGACAAAUGGGACUAUGCCAGUCCAGAGGAACCGAUUUAAUAUUGCAUCUUUUCGUAUUCACUAUACUAUGGUUGGAGUAAUAGAGAAUCAUAAUGGAUGCAUAAUUUGAUAAAGCAGAUAGAUUCAGAAAUUGAAAAGGAUAGAAAUUCUAGAUCAGAAAAAUGGUUGGAUCUGCGAAACUGGUGAAGGCAAGAGCUAUAAAUUGCUUAUUUAUAUAUCUCUGAUUGGGCUAGGGUUUUGUGUUUCAUUGUGAAGUUACCGAUUUACGCGGUUAAAUAGAAAAUAUUCCGGGAAUUUGUUAGGGUGAGUCAUCAUAUAUAAUAUCCAAAUCCAAGUAUUUGAAAUUAAGGUGUCAAAUCAUCAUCUCAGAAAAAAAGAAAGAAAAAAAAAAGAGAGAUGACAAAUCAUAGUUUAUUUGAAAAUAAUGAUGAAGGUUGUUUAGGUAAUU
rnacentral:lncRNA from 1 species